UGUCUCUGACUGGGUAGAGUUGCACCUGGUUUGGUGGUACUUGUCUCAUAUCAGCAGGGACAAAGGAACUCCUUGUUUAUCCUAGCUUAGCUUUUGGUCUGUUCCUGUGCCUGGUUCAUGUCCUGACACAUAG